ACAAAGGCACAGAUAAGGGGUGACAGUUUGACAUCUAUCCUCUAUCACACAGUCAAACUAGUGGCAGAGCUGAGAGUCCCAGAGCGGUUUCCCAUCAGCCUCACUAACUCCUUUAAACCUUGCCUUCCUGUGACCCAUGCCCCAUGGAGGAUGAUCCAGGGCUUCAACUCAAAUGGAGGAGGGCCCAAGGACUGAGGAGCACAGAAAUCCCGCUGUGAGCUUCACAGACUGGAAGCUUGGAGAUCAGAGAGAAAGAAAUGAUGAAAGGAAGCCGCAAAGCCUAUUCUAUGGUGUCUGUAAAGUCACUCCUGGAGAGAGAUACCUCUGAGAGAAAGAUAUUCCAGUUCAAGUUCAAGUUCAAGGCUGCAUGGAGGCCUUUUGUAUUACAUUAGGAGAGCUAUGUCUUUUUCUGGAAAGGAGGAGAGGUGCACAGCACGCAGCAGACUCUUCCCUAAGGGAACACACUCAGAAGAUGUGCCUGUGCUCCAUUUCUCACUCUUCAGAAGGUGGGCGACCUUGGGCUUCCCUGCUGUGUGCAAAGCUGGCCCCUGGAUAUUUUUUUGGAAUGCUGCAAUGAGAAAUACAUACUGGCCUACCCUGCAUUUUGUUUAAGCUAUACUUCAUUAAAGCAGAAAGCUCUCUGAA